GCUUGUUGGUAAGGUAAUGGCUUACCAAGGCUACGAUCUUUAGCUGGUCUGAGAGGACGAUCAGCCACAUUGGGACUGAGACACGGCCCAGACUCCUACGGGAGGCAGCAGUGGGGAAUAUUGGACAAUGGGCGCAAGCCUGAUCCAGCCAUACCGCGUGUGUGAAGAAGGCCUUCGGGUUGUAAAGCACUUUAAGCAGGGAGAAAAAGCAAUAAGUUAAUACCU
rnacentral:rRNA from 1 species